rnacentral:lncRNA from 1 species
CAUCACUCCUCGAGAGAGAAAAUCCUCCAUUCAAUAAUUCAUAAUUCAAAAGUCUUGUAUUAACUCCUAUUUAUAUAAAAACCCUAAGAAGUAAUAGAAAGGAAAAUAAUAAUUUUAAAGUUCACAAAAUAUCACCUAAAAUAUGGCAAAACGGAAUUAAGAAUCCUAGAAACCUAAAACUUGCCAAAUAUAAGUAAUUUAAUCAAUUUAGCACUCCACGCACAUUUGGGAAAAAUCCAUCCAGAAUUUGAACGGUGCGACCCCACCAUUUCCUUCCUUGUGGUCGCAAGGAACUGCCGGUUGCUGCCCAGUUGCUCUCGGCCUGGUGCUAGCUGUGUGAUCGCAGCCAAUCUUCCACUGUGUGACCGCAUGGUUUCCAGUUUUUUUUUUUGUUUUUUUUUUUUUUGGCUCGGAUUUGGUUUCUUCCCUCAAGUUGAUUCGCUUGGUUUUUGGCCUUCGACCUCAAUACAAAUCUAGGACUUUGGCUGAUUGACUCCACCAUUUAGAACUCCAUAAUUCGACCACACAUUUAUACGGUUUUGUUGUCCCGAAUGAAGCUUGAAUCUUGUCCUUAGCCGCCCUCCAACAUUCAUCAAAUCCUUGGUCGUUUGGCGCCCAAACCGAAUCACAUCAUAUUAUUAUUAUUAUUAUUAUUAUUAUUAUUUUGCUUUUUUACUCUAGCUCUAUACCUUAAAUUAAUCUAAUUUGCAGGUUAAGAUUAUUCGUCAAAUAUAUUUGUUCAAAUACAUUUGUCCAUUGAACGCUUCCCAUGAAUAUGACUUUGAUGGAUUGAGCAAAAGCAUGAAAUUAAUGAACAUAUUAUGCCCUCGUUUGGUGGGAUUAAAAUCAGAUUAUUAGUAAAUUUAGUUACAAGUGGAUGAAUUGUGUGAUUCACAUAAUAUAUGUGAUUAAAAUUAAUUGUUAUUUUUAACUUGAAUUAAAAUAUUGGCUUAAAUUAAAAUAUUAAUUUUAGUAUCUACCAUAUAGGGGCCAAAUGUACCAACGCAAAACAUGACGAGCGAGAUUAGGUCUGUUCUCUAAUAAAAAGAAAAAAAAAAAGAAAAAAAAAAUUAAUUGUACAAUCUCUAUACUCCAUAGUUCAAUCAUCAAAUUAUUAUUUGAAAUAAUCCACAGUUUAAUCAUCAAAUUAUUAUCUGAAAUACUCCACAAUUGUAAGUAGAAAUUGGUUAUUCAAUAAGAUUCAACCACUUGAAUGACCAACUGUUUUAAGUUUACAGGAAUGACCAAAGAAUCUAUCCAUAUGAUGGUAAAGUAGAUGAUAAUCUAUUAUAGCCACAUUGUCAGGAAACAUAUUUUAAACUAGCCACAUUCAAACAUCACGGAAAAGUAGAUGAUCAUCUAUGUCAGCAGUCAACAUCCUCGUGUAUGUGUAGAUGUUAGAGCAACAAGAUAGGAGUUAGGCUUAACUAAAUUACAAAUAAGUGACAAAUUUAGAAAGAACAUGAAGUAAUUUAUAAUAUUCUGCAUUAUCGACUUAAGAUGUUUAUUUCAUUAGCAUCCCUAUAAAUAUGAUAUCCAUUCAGCCCAAUUUGUAAUACAAGAUUUACUGUAUAUUUUUAGUUUAACAAGAUUGUGAAACGUAGGUUACCUUUGUCGCAUGGGAUGGUGGUUGAGAUAUCAAUGAGAAAAUGCUACAAAAUAAUGACAUUGUUCCAAAGUUUUUCAGGUGGAUUUCAAAGCAAAGAUCAACUGAAAUUAUGCAAAAACUAAGGGAAAAUAAGAGAAACAUACCUGAAGUUAACUCCCUUUGUAAAACAAGAAGACAAGAAACAAAUUGACCCAAAACCAAACCAAAGGCUUGAUUUUGAGACAUCUGUCCACAUUAAAAGAAAGAGAAAUAGAAGAAAAAGUAAACUCUUACUAACAGAGGGUGCAGAGACACGGUAUUCAGAGGGCAGAGCCAAUUGAGUCCAAAUUGCUGAUAAACCAUAUGUGCAAAAGCUUCGUCAUGAUGAGGCGAUGGUAGGGGAGGUGGUCCGUGACCGUGGUUUGCAUCGCUAGCGCCGGAAUUUGGGUUUGAACUGUCCGAUUUCGUUGUAGACGUGUUUUGCUGUGGAUUUCGAUUCGUACCUUUGUUUGAUGUUAUAAAUAUAUCAUUAGGAGCGGAAUUAGGUGCUUGGUCAAUAUGGAUGAUGGGCAUAGCCUGGGUUGUCGCCAAAAGUGGAGAUUUCGGCCAUUUUUAACUGCGUGGGUAGGCUUUUUUUAUGAGAGAUGAGCGAGAGGUGGAGACGAGAAAAGAAGAAAAAAUUGGGUUGAUUUGAAAUAAUUUUGAUGAGUUUUUAUUUUGGCAACGUUCAUUUGAACGUUCUCAACGAAUUCUGCAAAAAGUGGAACUCUU